CAUACGUAUCCUAAUUGUAUCAAAUGUAGAUGGAUUAUACCCUCAAGUUCAGAGGCAGAAAUGGUCACACUGGAUCAAAGAAGCAAGACCCGACAGCAUGCUGUGCCCAGGAGACACACUUGGAAGACCCAGGGUGGUAGAAGGUACAAAGAUGGACAGGUUGGCUGAAUCUGUGAAUGAGAAACCUGUAGAUAUGGAGGGCCAAAUGUAUUAACAAGUCAAAUCCAGCAAUAUAACACAAGGAUUAUGCAUUAUGACCGAGGAAUAUUUAUCUCUAGAAUGCAAGAUUGGUUCAAUAUUCAAAAAUCAGUGAUUUUAUUUUUACCAUAUUAACGUAAAGGAGAAAUCUAUAUGAUCAUCUAAACAGAUGCAGACCGAAAAUUUCAAUUCGACUGGUACCUGGAUCUACCUCCGUGUCACGAAGGGCAUGGACAGAAAUCCUGCAGCUUCCCUCUAACAUUAUGAACUAGGCCAAGACAUGCUUUUGAUCUUGACAUAGGCAAAGAUUCCCUAGAAAAGGUACAAAAAGCGUUAACCCAAAAUUAACCCAAACUGGUAAAUUGGUAAGUUGUUCUUCAAUCAAAAUUUUAAAAGACCAUCAAAGCCACCUUUAGGAAAAGGAGAAGACAAGUCACAGACUGUAGAAGCGUCUGCAGUCACACAAAAGGGUCCUCAAACCCUUUAAGGAAAAUGUGUAUUGUGAAAAACUAUGCAUAGAUGUCAAAAAUUGUGCAAAAAUAAACUCAUACUAAUUUGUUAUAACAUGUCUGAACAGGAUCUGGUGUGAGGCACUAAGAAGGAUAAGACAUCAGUUUGGGCCAGGCGCAGCGGCUCAAGCCUGUAAUCCCAGCACUUUGGGAGGCCGAGGUGGGUGGAUUGCCUGAAGUCAGGAGUUUGAGACCAGCCUGGGCAACAUGAUAUAACCCCGUCUCUACUAAAGGUACAAAAAUUAGCUGGGUGUAGUGGCGCAUGCCUGUAGUCCUAGCUACUCAGGAGGCUGAGGCAGGAGAAGUGCUUGAACCUGGGAGGUAGAGGUUGCAGUGAGCCAAGAUUGCACCACUGCUCUCCAGCCUAGGCAACAAGAGUGAAACUCCA
rnacentral:lncRNA from 10 species